rnacentral:rRNA from 1 species
UACAGAGGGUGCAAGCGUUGCUCGGAAUUACUGGGCGUAAAGCGUGCGCAGACGGCAAGGCAGGUCGGGUGUGAAAGCCCUGGGCUCAACCCAGGGAUUGCAUUCGAAACCAUCUUGCUCGAGUGUGGGAGAGGGGAGCGGAAUUCCUGGUGUAGAGGUGAAAUUCGUAGAUAUCAGGAGGAACACCGGCGGCGAAGGCGGCUCCCUGGCCCAUUACUGACGUUCAGGCACGAAAGCGUGGGGAGCAAACAGG